rnacentral:rRNA from 1 species
UACGUAGGGGGCAAGCGUUGUCCGGAAUCAUUGGGCGUAAAGAGCGCGUAGGCGGCCCAGUAAGUCCGCUCUGAAAGUCAGGGGCUCAACCCCUGGAUGCGGGUGGAUACUGCUGGGCUAGAGUCCGGAAGAGGUGAGUGGAAUUCCUGGUGUAGCGGUGAAAUGCGCAGAUAUCAGGAAGAACACCAAUGGCGAAAGCAGCUCUCUGGGACGGUACUGACGCUGAGACGCGAAAGCGUGGGGAGCGAACAGG